CCACACGUCGUGCCCGCAGCGGCCUCAGCGCCGUCGACACCACCACCAGGUCCUGAUUUCCCAACCACGCCGAUCUUGGCGUUCUUCUUUUUGUUUGAUUGUGUUUCAAGAUAAGAAUUUUGUUACAGCUUCGGCGCUUCGCGUCUGAGUUUUGCAGCCCCGGCGGACGUCCGAGCUGCUUACUGAAUGCCAGAUGGUGGAAAAGAUUGUGCUGAUGUACGCCCGCGACAGCCCCAAACGCUGGAGCAGUUCAACUCCUUGCGGGUCCCCAAGCUCAGGUACUCCCAUUAAUCCUAUCUGAUGCUUCCUAUGAGUACCAGCCUCGCAUGCAUGCUCAGGUUGGUGCUGCUGGAUUGAAUCGGUUAACAUUGGUGCUUUUUUUUUUGCCAAAGUUGGAUUCUUUGAGCUACAUGUCCACGCCUCAAUCACUUAGAACAAGUUGAUUGCUGGAUGGUAACUUUGUUAUAGCUAAACCAUUUUUAUUAGAUUAACUAAAUUGGAUUCCAUUAAUCUUAUUUGUAUAUGUUCCCUUGACUGAAUAAUUAGCAGUUCCGUUUUAGAAUUAAACAACUGGUCCUGUGGUUUGGCAGUGUUUCUUUUGAUGAUUCUUUUGCACUACUGUUUCUGUUAGAUACUAAUUGACUUUCAGCUUUGAUUUAUUAACACGCGUGGCCAUUCUAAUAGACAUCAUUCAUUUCAGGUUUGGACCUUUCUUGGUGGAUGUGUCUCCUUACUUCAUCUCUUUUACUUUCAACUUUGUCACAACCAUAGAGGAUUCU
rnacentral:lncRNA from 1 species